UUAUGUCAAUUAUGGUAAGUACCGGUUUUUACAGAUAAGCUAUUGAGUUUGAUUCUCGUUGUCCCCUCUCUUAGCCCUUCCCUUCCCUUCACUCAGCUCAUCUUGUAGGCAAAAGAAAAGUAUUCAAUUUCAAAUUCACCAAAUAAGCUUUGUGCAAGUCCAUUUCAACUAUUUGUCCUAUUUUCUAGACUUGAGCAAAAUUUAUUUUUCGAGUACACAAUGAAAGAUUACAAAGUGACUGGGUCAAGCAAAAGCUACAUCCAAUUACAUCACCAAGGAGACUAGGAGUGUAGGACCAAUAUGCUACAUUCAUGUCUUAACAAUAAUUUCACAAGAUGCUUCAUCAAUGCCCUUGUUGAAUAAAAACAAAAAUCAUGGGUCCAAAGCUCAAAAUUUCCAAUUUCCAUGACUGAUGAGGAAAGGCAAGAGCCAAGAAGAAGAUAUUUUCUUGAAUCAAAUGUAUGUCUAACUCAGAAAUUACUAUGCAAGGUUAUCCACAAAAGAGACAAUUUUAUCGGCUUAACCAUUAUUUUAGGCUUUUGGUUAAGUUGGUUUCUUAACAACGCCGGCUAUUUUAAAAUAUCGAGGUUGUGACGGAACUUCAAGUCCAACAGAAUUGCUACUUAGCAUUAAAUCAAUUGAAGACAUUGUUGGUCUAUCACUUGGGUUGGCUUGAAUACACAAUAAACCAAUAUGUAUGCAUCUCUGAAUCUCGAAACUCGAGC